rnacentral:rRNA from 1 species
GACGAACGCUGGCGGCGUGCUUAACACAUGCAAGUCGAACGGUGACGAGGAGCUUGCUCCUCUGAUCAGUGGCGAACGGGUGAGUAACACGUGAGCAACCUGCCCCAGACUCUGGGAUAACAGUUGGAAACAGCUGCUAAUACCGGAUACGAGACGGAGAGGCAUCUCUACCGUCUGGAAAGUUUUUCGGUUCUGGGAUGGACUCGCGGCCUAUCAGCUAGUUGGUGAGGUAAUGGCUCACCAAGGCGACGACGGGUAGCCGGCCUGAGAGGCGACCGGCCACACUGGGACUGAGACACGGCCCAGACUCCUACGGGAGGCAGCAGUGGGGGAAUAUUGCACAAUGGCGAAAGCCUGAUGCAGCGACGCCGCGUGAGGGAUGAAGGCCUCGG